rnacentral:rRNA from 1 species
AUUGAACGCUGGCGGCAUGCCUAACACAUGCAAGUCGAACGGCAGCACAGUAUGUAGCAAUACAUAUGGGUGGCGAGUGGCGGACGGGUGAGUAACGCGUGGGAAUCUGCCCUAUAGUGGGGGACAACCCGACGAAAGUCGGGCUAAUACCGCAUACGCCCUACGGGGAAAGGCUUCGGCCGCUAUUGGAUGAGCCCGCGUCGGAUUAGCUAGUUGGUGAGGUAAUGGCUCACCAAGGCGACGAUCCGUAGCUGGUCUGAGAGGACGAUCAGCCACACUGGGACUGAGACACGGCCCAGACUCCUACGGGAGGCAGCAGUGGGGGAAUAUUGCACAAUGGGCGAAAGCCUGAUGCAGCAAUGCGCGUGUGUGAAGAAGCCGUGCGGGUUGUAAAGCACUUCGUAGGAAGAUAAGUGACGGUACUACAGAAG